rnacentral:rRNA from 1 species
AAAUCUUGACAUCCUUCUGACCGCACCGUAAUGGGUGCUUUCCUUCGGGACAGGAGUGACAGGUGGUGCAUGGUUGUCGUCAGCUCGUGUCGUGAGAUGUUGGGUUAAGUCCCGCAACGAGCGCAACCCCUAUUGCCGGUAGCCAGCAGGUAAAGCUGGGCACUCCGGCGAGACUGCCCGGGAUAACCGGGAGGAAGGCGGGGAUGACGUCAAAUCAUCAUGCCCCUUAUGAUUUGGGCAACACACGUGCUACAAUGGCGUUAACAAAGAGAAGCGAGAACGCGAGUUUAAGCAAAGCUCAAAAAUAACGUCUCAGUUCGGACUGCAGUCUGCAACUCGACUGCACGAAGCCGGAAUUGCUAGUAAUCGCGAAUCAGCAUGUCGCGGUGAAUACGUUCCCGGGUC